UGGAUGGAGGGAAAAAAAAGGGUUAUCGGCGGUCUCGGAUUCGCUUGGUGCAGGUCGGGAACUGAUUGGCUGACACCGCCACGUGGAUUUUCACGGUUGGCUUGUGAGCAGGGAUCGGAUCCUGCCUUCCAUCAACUGAAUCGGAGCCCGAGGUGAAAAUACAAAAGUUUCCAACUUUCAGAUCUGACAUUAAACCUUGUUUAGUUUUGAAGCAGGGUACUCGAUUGGCUAAUUCGGUUAGAUGUGUGAUGCCCACUCUGUUUCUAAAGGCUGUGGAUUUUGAUGUAAAAACUCUCUAAAUCCCAUAAAUGCUUUAUGGGGUUUUUCAGAAUUUCUAGGGUCUUACAUUGGCUUAGGUUCAGUGAGAUCAAUUCAACUCCUUUUCACAGGUGAGUGUUUCAUGAGUUUACCUUGAACAUUUUAAUGGACUUUCAGCUUUUCUUUUUGUUGUGUAUGGAUUGGUAUUUUGAUCAUUAUGACUGUUGUUGAUGAAUAUAUGGCUGAGAGCAUCUGUUUCUGUA